rnacentral:rRNA from 1 species
UACAGAGGUGGCAAGCGUUGUUCGGAAUUACUGGGCGUAAAGGGCGCGUAGGCGGCCUGUUAAGUCGAACGUGAAAUCCCCGGGCUCAACCCGGGAACUGCGUCCGAUACUGGCAGGCUUGAAUCCGGGAGAGGGAUGCGGAAUUCCAGGUGUAGCGGUGAAAUGCGUAGAUAUCUGGAGGAACACCGGUGGCGAAGGCGGUCUCCUGGAGCAUACUUGACGCUGAGGCGCGAAAGCUGGGGGAGCGAACGGGG